GUGCAGCACCGGGCUCCCAGAGC
rnacentral:piRNA from 1 species